rnacentral:lncRNA from 1 species
UUGCCCCAGUUGCAACUUCCUAAAUUUUGAUCCUAUUGUAAUGUUUCAAGAAAAUCAAAACUAAGUUUUAUCUAUUGCUUCAUUUAAAUGAAUUGUUGACAUUGUUUUUAAGAAUUUGACAUGCUUGAAGUCUAGAUCACCAUUCCUCUGUUUCUAUUUGAUCCUGAGACCAACUUCUGUUUUGGGUUCCAAAAAUUAGCCUGCCAUUUGUUCUUAUAGCUGUAGCUUUUAUACUAAUCACUUUAUUGUGUUGCACAACUUGGGCACAAAGAUGCUGAAUUUAAUAGUUUCAACUUAUGAUGCUGAAUUUAAUAGUUUCAACUUAUGAUGCUGAAUUUAAUAGUUUCAACUUAGGAUUGUGAUAAAUAUGACAAAAUUUUGCAUCUAGCUAGCGGUAAUGGGCUUUGUUGACAGUUUGUUAAGGUUAAGUGAAUUUUAUUUUUCUUUUGAUCGAGGUGAUGAUUUAAUGUCAAUGGUUGCAAAACAAUGGUGCCAAUCUUACAUUAGGAAUCUGUUUCUUGUCUGGAUUAACACUGAUUGUCAUUUCAUCUGUUAAUAAAAAACAAUAUUGUUGGUAUCAGAAAUUCGAGAAGA